rnacentral:rRNA from 1 species
GUUCCUUGGAAAAGGACAGCUGAGAGGGUGACACUCCCGUCCGCCUGGUAGAGUGAGUCUUUGUCAACGAGUCGAGUUGUUUGGGAUUGCAGCUCUAAUUUGGUGGUAAAUUCCAUCUAAGGCUAAAUAUUGGUGGGAGACCGAUAGCGUACAAGUACCGUGAGGGAAAGAUGCAAAGAACUUUGAAAAGAGAGUUAAAGAGUACCUGAAAUUGCUGAAACGGAAGCGAAGGAAACCAGUGUUUGUUGGUUCAUAUUUCCCUUGUCACUUGUGAUGUGGGCGCUGUGAGCUUGCGUGGGUUUGCUUUGGUUGAUUCCUUUGGAAGAGCGCAGUCAGAGUUGAUGUCU